rnacentral:rRNA from 1 species
CGUGUAGGCGGACCUUCAAGUCGGGUGUGAAAACUGGCGGCUCAACUGCCAGCCUGCACUCGAUACUGUUGGUCUUGAGUACAGGAGAGGAAAGCGGAAUCCCAGGUGUAGCGGUGAAAUGCGUAGAUAUCUGGAAGAACACCAGUAGCGAAGGCGGCUUUCUGGACUGAUACCGACGCUAAAGCGCGAAGGCUUGGGUAGCAAACA